rnacentral:rRNA from 1 species
GAUGGACGCUGGCGGCGUGCCUAAUACAUGCAAGUCGAGCGAACGAACGAGAAGCUUGCUUCUCUGAUGUUAGCGGCGGACGGGUGAGUAACACGUGGAUAACCUACCUAUAAGACUGGGAUAACUUCGGGAAACCGGAGCUAAUACCGGAUAAUAUUUUGAACCGCAUGGUUCAAAAGUGAAAGACGGUCUUGCUGUCACUUAUAGAUGGAUCCGCGCUGCAUUAGCUAGUUGGUAAGGUAACGGCUUACCAAGGCAACGAUGCAUAGCCGACCUGAGAGGGUGAUCGGCCACACUGGAACUGAGACACGGUCCAGACUCCUACGGGAGGCAGCAGUAGGGAAUCUUCCGCAAUGGGCGAAAGCCUGACGGAGCAACGCCGCGUGAGUGAUGAAGGUCUUCGGAUCGUAAAACUCUGUUAUUAGGGAAGAACAAAUGUGUAAGUAACUGUGCACAUCUUGACGGUACCUAAUCAGAAAGCCACGGCUAACUACGUG